rnacentral:rRNA from 1 species
UGGGGAAUCUUGCACAAUGGGGGCAACCCUGAUGCAGCGACGCCGCGUGAGCGAUGAAGCCCUUCGGGGCGUAAAGCUCUUUCGACCGGAACGAUAAUGACGGUACCGGGAGAAGAAGCUGCGGCUAACUACGUGCCAGCAGCCGCGGUAAUACGUAGGCAGCGAGCGUUGUUCGGAGUUACUGGGCGUAAAGAGUGCGUAGGCGGCGAGCCAAGUUUGGUGUGAAAUCUCCCGGCUUAACCGGGAGGGUGCGCCGAAAACUGGUUGGCUGGAGUAUGGGAGAGGAAAGCGGAAUUCCUGGUGUAGCGGUGAAAUGCGUAGAUAUCAGGAGGAACACCUGCGGUGUAGACAGCUUUCUGAACCAAAACUGACGCUGAGGCACGAAAGCGUGGGUAGCAAACA